rnacentral:lncRNA from 1 species
CAUCCCCAGAGGUUCGAGAGAAGCACUGCCCCCUAUUGAGAACCUUUGAGAAAGCUGCCCUGAAAAGGAGAAGCUACCCAUAGUUCUGCAGAGGUGACAUUAGGAGGGUGUCUCAACUCACAUCACCACAGUGACAGCCAUCUUCUGGCAGAGGCCAGGGAAUGAAAGUACCAUGGAUUUGGAGUAAGGAGGAAGCCACUUGGGUCAGCAGGAAAAGCUGUCCCACAAGAAUCCCUCCAGGAAGCUGCUUGGCCACUCCAUAGCAGAAGACACUAUGCCUCAAGUCUGGAGAGAAGGAAGACAAAGAGGAAAAAGAGACACUGGAAAGAAAAAGAUGCUGGCAGGAGUCUGCUGGUCUAAGUCAUACAAGUUACAAAGCAGAGGUUUUUAUAGUUAAUUCAU